AUAAAGUGCUGAGAGAAAAACAGUGGAGAAGAGAAAGAGAAUUAGAUAGUGGAGAAGAGAGAGAGAGAGAAAAAUAGUGGAGAAGAGAAAGAGAAUUAGAUAGUGGAGAAGAGAGAGAUUGACACAGAUAGUGGAGAAGAGAGAGAGAGAAUUACUGUAGAAGAGAGAGAGAGAAAUAGUGUAGAAGAGAGAGAGAGAGAGAAAUAGACAGUGGAAAAGAGAGAGAGAGACUCAGACAGUGAAGAAGAGAGAGAGACACAGACAGUGGGAAAGAGAGAGAGAAAUGGUGGAGAAGAGAGAGAAACAGAGAGUGAAGAAGAGAGAGAGACAGACAGUAGAAAAGAGACAGAGAGAGAAAUAGAUUGUGGGGAAGAGAGAGAGUGACAGAGAGUGUAGAGGGGAGAGAGAGAGAUACAGACAGUGGAAAAGAGAAAGAGAGAAAUAGUGGAGAAGAGAGAGAUAAAAAAAUAGACUGGAAAAGAGAGAGAGAGAGAGAGAGACAGAGACAGUGGAGAAGAGGGAUAGAGAUAGAAAUAGACAGUGGAGAAGAGAGAACAAGACAGACAGUGGAGAGGAGGAGAGAAAUUGACAGUUGAGAAGAGAGAAAGAGACACAGACAGUGGAAAAAAUAGAGAGAAACAGAUAUGGAUAGAGAGAGAGAGAACAGAUAUGAGAAGAGAGAGAGAGAUGGAAAUAGACAGUGGAGAAGAGAGAAAGAGACAGACAGUGGAGAGGAGAAUGAGAGAAAUUGUGCUGAGAAGAGAGAAAGAGACACAGACAGUGGAAAAAAUAGAGAGAGAAAUAGACCAUGGAUAGAGAGAGAGAGAGAAACAGAUAGUGGAGAAGCGUGAGAGAGAGAAAUAGUGGAGAAGAGAGAGAUAGAAAUAGACAGUGGAGGAGAGAGAGAGAGGAUGAAGUAGAGGAAGAGAGCACGAGAAAAUGGAGUGGAAAAGACAGAGAAAGAGAGAAGCAGAAGAGAGAAAGAAGGAACGAGAGAGAAAUAGAACCUGGUAAAGAGAGAGAGGGAGAAAAUGAGAACGGGAGAUUAAAAAAGAGUACAAGGAGUGGAAGAGACAGAAAGAUAAAGGGAAAAAUGAGGAAAAGAGAGAGGGAGAAGGAGAAAGAGAGGGAGAAGACAGGAAGAGAGGGGACAAGAGAGGAAGAAAGAGAGACAAAAGUAGAGAGUAAAAGAGGGGGCGAGGGAAGUGAAGAGAGAGGGGAAAAAGAGAGGCAGAAGGAGAAGAAGAAGCAGGAGCGGGGGAGAAGAGAGUUGAAGAGAGAGAAGAAAAGAGAAAAAGAGAUGGAGAAAGAGAGGGGGAGAGAGAAGAGGAAAGAGAGGAAGAGACAGAGAGGAGGGAAGAGAUAGAGGAAGAGAGAAAAAAAUAGACAAAGAAAGAGAGGGGGGAGGGAACAAGAGUGGGAGAGAAGGGGAAAAAGGAGAGAGAGCGGUGGGAGAGGGAAAAAAAGAGAAAGUCAAGAGUGGAUGAGAGGGAGAGAGACACACAGGGGAGAGAGAGACAAAGGGAAAGAAGGAGUUGGAGAGAGAAAAAAGAGAAGUAAGAGAGAAAAAGGAAGAGCGAGAGGAGAGAGAGGAAAAGCGGUGGAAAGAGAGAGAGGAAGAAAGUGAGGAGGAAAGAGAAAAAUAGAGCGGAAGAGAGAGAAAGAAAAGAGAGGGCGAGAGAGGGAGAAAAAGAGGAGGAGAGAAAUGUAGACAGGAGGAGAGAGGAAGAGAGUGGAAUAGAGAGAGAAAGAGAGGAGGAGAAAAAUGAUGAGAGGAGGACAGAAAGAGUGAGAGAGAGAGAAAUAAAGUGGAAGAGACAGAGACAGUGGAAGAUAGGAAGAGACAAUGAGAGAAAGAGAGAAGAAAAAAUAGAGUGGAAAAGAGAGAGAGAGAGAGAGAGGGAGAGAGGAAAAAAGAGAAAGAGGGAGAGAGAAAAAAGAGUGGAAGACAGAGGGGAAGAGGAGGAAAAAGGAAAAGAGAGAGCAAAAGAAAGCAAGAAAAGGGAGAGAGGUGGGGAGAAAGAGGGAGAAGAGAGGAAAAGCGAGGAAGAGAGAGAAAAAGAACAAGAGAGAGAGGAGAUUGGGAGAAAAAGAGAAGAAGAGAGAGUGAGAAAAAGAGAGAGGAAGAGAGACAGAGAAAAAGAGAGGAGGAGAGGUAAAGAGAGAGGGGGAUAGAGAGUAAGAGAGAAAAAGGGAAAAGAGAGUGGAAGAGAGAGAGGGAGGAAAGAAAAAAAAGAAGAGAGGAAGAGAGAGAAAAAGAAGAAGAGAGAGAUAAAAAUAGAGUGGAAGUAAAAGAAAAAUAGAGAGUGGAAGAAAGAGGAGAAGAGAGAAAACAGAGGAAGAGAGAGAGAAAAAGAGGAAAGAGAGGAAGAGAGAGAAAUAGAGAGUAGAAGAGAGCGGGAGAGAGGGAGAGAGAGGAAGAGAGAAAAAAUAAAGAGUAGAA
ensembl:lncRNA